UUGUGUUUGAGGUUUUUAUGCUCGACCUAACCUGGUUCUAUAUAAAUUGCUUAAUUUAAUGCAUGCAUGCAUGCACAUAUACACAUACACAUAUAUAUAAAUAUAUACAUAUGUAAAUGCAUAUAAUAUUAAUUUUACUGGUACAUCUUUCAAUUGUAAAAAUAAAAAAGUAAUAGUAUAUCAACAUAUAAUUGGAAAUUUAUACUUAAGUGUAUCUUUUCAUUUUUUAAUCUAUUAUUAUAUGAUUAACCAUCAAGUACGCGUUAUUAAUGAUUUAAUAUUUGUAACAUGCAUUUAAUGUCUCAUUAAGAAACUCCUCAAGGCAUAGAUUAUUUAGCUUGAUUAACUAUAAUAUUUGAUAUCCGAGGGAUACUCGGAUCCAACCUUCAAUAUAUUGCUUAAUUAUCCGAACCAAAACUCUAUCAGAUCCUUCAAUAUAUUGCUUAUGGAAUAAAUAUUAGACUCGAGUCUCAACAAGCAUGGGUCUAGGUUAGUAUUUGGAAUAAAUAUUAGACUCCGGAUUGCAUAGCACCACUACAUUGUUGUGAUCCUUAAUUAAAACAAUCCACUUAGAUUAGUCCAAAUACUCUUAGCGAGGAUAUAAGAACUUAUCACAUUAUACUUCUGCUUGGAUAAGUACCACAUGUUGCAUGUGUGGGAUCAUAAACAUUUGGGUUGUAUUCCUUCCCUGGUACAUUGCUUACAUUCAUUGCACAUGCCACUAAUGCAUACUGAGAGAAAAAAAUUCAAAGAACAAACAUCCUAAUCAAAUGAAGUAGCAGUUUGUGUCAAAUUUAAAUCAUUCAUUAAAUACUCUCAAAUAGCAAUAAAUUUUGAAAAAAAAAUUAAGGUUAGGGACAUCUCAAAUGCAUAUAAAUAUGGCAAAUUAUAGUUUAUAGUAGAUACCUGCGCUUGUUGCCGAGAAGCCAACUCAAAUUAGGGUAAGAGAGGUUAGGUUUCUUUUCUGUACAUGGUUUGUGUAUGGAAAUUGCCCGAACAUUAUGCUAAUUUAUCACAAAUAUAUUUAUUUGUGCAUCUUGGAUGCUAUAAUAGUAUAAUAACCAUAUUAGCAAAACUAAAGACUGCCUAUCUUUAUCAAUUUUAUCCUUAUUCUUGUUAUUUUUCUAUAAUAUAUAGUAAUUUAUUUGAGUGCAUCCCAUGGAUAUUUUGGUUGUUACCCACCAUCUAAUAAAAGCAUAAAGGGAAAACAAACACUUUGUCUCAUCAACCAAGUUGAACCAUUCCAUUGCAAUAACUAUUAUACAGCUAGGGCAGCUAUUAUUCAAUAUUUCCACUGGCCACUUGUCACUUGAUCUUACUUUAAAAUAGAUACCAUAUUUUCCAAAUGGUAACAUAACCUAUUAACACUUAUUUUAUCUUUUUUGGUACAUGUUAGCACCUAUUUUAUCAUUAUAUUCUCAGCAAAAGAAAUAAACUUUGAUUGAUGCUGACAUGAAAUUUUUUUAUUAAAACGACAGAUGAUAGUAUAUCCAAUGUCAGGGUAUGGAUAGUACGAAGAGCAAAGGACUUGAGCUGAGAAAGAAGACUUGACCUGUAAAUAAUAAAUCCAAAUAUAAACUAUGCGGCAGCGAAUCUGAUCUGGUUAUCCCUAACCGGAAUAGUAUAUUCCGCCACACCUUCAAACUCUACCCGUCCGAUCAAGAUCGGACAGCCCUGAUAACGACCAUCCGUACUAGUUCUAACAUUGGAGACAGCCCUAAUGGCAGACCCCGCAAUUCACGGCAACGACGAGGGCGUUCGAUUUCAGUUUGAUGCCAACCAAUCAAAACGUGUUUUGCCUGGUGGGCCCGCCCAAAAGAAGCAAAAAUUAAACGAAGCUUCCCUUCUUUCCUUUCGUUUAAAAAGUGCUGUCUGCCCGAUCGAACUCGUCCAAAGAAAGAAUGAAAGAAAAAUUCUUCCUUUCUCGUUGUUGGAAUUCCCUCCCAACUCUUUGAUUCAUCCUUUGAUUCAAAGCAGAGUGGAAGAAGGCGGGAUUAGGGAGUAAAAGGUGAAAAUCUUGAAGAAAGAUCGAAGUUUUCGACGUGUUUUGUGGAUUCUAAAACUUUUUGGUUGUGUUUUCUGUUUUAUUUGUUUUGAAGGUUUCGAGCUAGGGUUCAACUUUUUAUUCCAAUCCGUGUUGGAUUCGAGGUUUUUCUACUCUUCCGGAUUUUCAAGUCGGAACGUUUACAGUGGCGAUCGAGCUUGGUGCUGGACCCCGUAAUUUUAAUGAUCUCCUUAUGAGUUUGUUUUUUUUUUUCCUUGGUUUUUAGGAGGAGUUGACUCGUCGUAGUUUGAAACUCAUUAAAAUUUGGUUUUAAUUUAUGUUUGACGAAAUUCAGUUUGGGAGAUGACCGAUUGAUCUUGACGUGUAGGAAUGAAACUUUUGACGCAGAUAGUUAACGUUUGCGUUUUUAUUCAUGGAUAUUGUUAUGUUACAAAUCUCUCUCUCUCUCUCUGGUUCUUUUAAUUGUCUUCACUGCCGGAAUGGAAGAAUUUAAUGUUAUUUGAUGUUUUAUGGAUUGAUUAAGUGGAAUUUUUUUGAUGUUUGCUGGUAUCUUAUUUUUAAUACAGAGAGGUAGAACUGGGAAUUUCACGAGAUCAUCUUUAAUUGCUUACCAUAAAAACAAUUUUUUUUUUUUUGCUCAUUGUAGGAGUUUGGGACAGAUGACGAGGAUGACACGUGAUUUUGGAGACUCAAUGCAGAAGGAGGCGAUUCAUUUGGUAUCAACUGAUGUGAAUUUUGUAUUGGGACGGUUUCCAGAUUAUCAGAUAGGAGCCAACAACAUAAUUAUCGAGCCAGAGGAGAAUCCUCAGGUGCCCUCCCUCAAAGAGAUUGUUGCAAAGGAGACAGCUCAGCUGCUGGAGCAGCAGAAGCGUCUCUCUGUUCGCGACCUUGCGGAUAAAUUCGAGAAGGGUCUGUCUGCUGCUGCAAAAUUGUCAGAUGAGGUGCCAUUCCCAUUCUUAAUUUGUAUUCAUAAAUGGCAGCCAUUUGAAACACACAUCUAUCUGCAAGAAGAUAUGUUACAUUGACUUGUCAGUUAUUUAAACAUGUUGCAAUAACUGCCAUAUUUGCCUUGCUGUCAUAUAGAGUCAUUGUCUUAAUUUUUCUUCUUUUUCUUACAAAUUAAGAAUAAUUGAUUGGUAGUUGGACAAUGGUGUAGGAAUUUCAGCUAAGAAGUUGUUAAUCUGGAUGAAACUUAAAAAACAAUAUGAAAGUGUCCUAGUAAUCUGAUGGCACAUUUCCUUUCAUAUUUCUCUUUUUAUCUGUUUGAUAUAUGCUUUACAUCGAAGAAAAUUGCUUAUAUCUAGCAUAAAAUCUUGCUUGGGAUUUCAGUCAAAGUGGAGAGAAGUGGCUUCAUUGGAUAGACAUGUCCUUUUGAAGAAACUCAGAGAUGCACUGGAUCAACUCAGAGGCCGAGUGGCAGGUCGAAAUAAGGAUGAUGCUGAGGAGGCCAUUUCUAUGGUUGGUUCACUUUCUUCUCAUUUGUUUUUCUUAUGCAUGCAAUGGUCUAUACAUAUAUGUAUCAAAUUUUUAAAUCAGAUUGCUGUCCUGUGGCCUUAGACCUUAAGUGUUUAACAGCUUAGAAUCACAGAAGCAUGCAAUUUUGGAACUCUUUUGUUCAAGGAGUUGGUCAUGCAGUGUGUGUGUCAUGCCAAAUUGCAUAUCCUUUUCUACUCAUAUAGGAAAGGCUUUGAGAUUGGUCGCAUGCGGUCGGCCCCGGAACCUAGAAAGCCAUGCCUCUUUUUACAGAAAAAGUGCCAUAAAAAUCUCCCAUUGCGCUGUAUCCCAUGAUCCGAUCCCAGGUCCCGCCACAUAACCCCCUCCUUAUCUCCUCAUCCCAGCUCAAUUGCCCAUAAUUUUUUUCUUAGAAAAAUCCACUACUUUAGUUAUAUAUAAAUGGAACUCCUGAUGCUCGGCAUGCAACUCUGGACUUCAUAACUAUGAAACCUCCACGUGCUUAUUUAACAAAUAAAAAAAUAUGCAAUAGAGUGCACAUGCCUUUUUUUUCUUCCAUAUCCCUCACCCCCUCCAUUUCCUUAAAAGGCAUGUUCAUGGCUCAUGUAACAUACAAGUAAGGAAGAAAUGUCAGACUCGGAUACAGCAGUGCAGCAUCAAUUCCAAAUUCGCAUGUAAUGUUUGGAAGCCAUCACACCAACCGAACUAUAUUGGAGAAAGUAUUGAUAAGGAACUAUGUGGACUUUUCAACAAAGUAUUGAGAAUGAGGUUCGCAAUCUCGGUACUCGACCCUAUAUCAAUACCAUGUUGGUACAUUGUUGGUAUGCUAAUCUGUUGCAGCAGUGCAGCAUCCAUUCCAAAUUCACACGUGAUGUUUGGAAGCCAACACGCACAGCCAAAUUGUACCAAAGAAUGUAUUGAUAAGGAACUAUGUAGGCUUCUGAACAAAAUAUUGAGAACAAGAUUGACAAUCUCAACACUCGACCAUGUACAAUGUUGGUACAAUGGCGGUACACCUGGUUAGUGUACGGACACUCUGCACACUCCCUGUACUGAAUAUUGAUUCAUUACUGGUAAUGGUACCGUAUAUCCAUUACGUGGUGAUACACACCAAUACGGCGAACUCUGAUCGAGAAAUUGUUGAGAAAAACCUUAGGGGCAUAGUACUUAUACUAAAUGCAUUUGCACAUCAAAUAUCCCAUGACUAUGUCAAUGGAUUGGUUUACGAAACACUAUUUGUGGUAAUCAUAUCUAGUGAUUUUUUUAUCAGUUAUCCCAGUUUUAUCUAGUUAUCUCACUGCUGUUCAUGCUAACUUUGACUAUGUUGAAGUCAAACGUGACAAGAUGCUACACUUACUUGUAGGUGGAAGCUUUAGCAGUUCAAUUGACUCAAAGAGAAGGAGAGUUGCUUCAUGAGAAGUCGGAAGUGAAAAAGUUAGCAACUUUUCUCAAACAGGUAAUGUCAAAGCACUUAAAAAUACAUAGUGAAAUAUAACUUCCAUUAAUUGAAUUCACAAUUUCCAUUGUUUUAAUUGCUUACCGUGUUUGCUUUUGUAACUUCAUGGCCCACUAAACUGCAGAUAGUUAUAUGAGCUUUCUAUUCUUUCCUCCUUUUCGUUCAGUCUGAUUGAUAGAUCCAAUCUCUGGAGCUGCUUCAUAUCUCCAAAACAUGCAUUCUCUCACCUUUCUGCCAGCCAAAAUUUUAACAACCACCAGUAAAAGAUGCAGAAAAUGAAAGCUCCAUGCAAUGAAUUUCAGUCUAUUUAAACUUUUAAAAUUUGAAUUGACAGGAAAAUAAAAAAAAUAUUACAAAGAAAUGUUCCCACGAGAAGGGAUGCUACUUUCAACUCAUAGUCACCAGUGGGAAGAAUCUUAAGCACUUCAGAGCAGAUAGAAACCAAAAAACAGAAAUCUUUUAUAUUUGUAUUCACAUAGUGCUGUGAUCACUGGUAAAAUUAUUUUCUUUUUUUAAAUUACACUUAAUAUCUGUCUCUUUUGCUGCUUCCAGGCUAUUGAGGAUGCAAAAAAAGUAAUUGAAGAGGAAAGGGCUAUUGCUCGUGCAGAAAUUGAAAGUGCUAGAGCAGCAGUGCAGAGGGUUGAAGAGGCCCUUCAAGAACAAGAACGAAUGUCCAGAAGUGCGGAGAAACAGGUUGGUAUCAGAAGUUCCUAAUAAAUUUAAUUGGCCUUUUAGCUUGCUAUUGACCCUCAACUAACUAGCAAGACAAAAAUUAGGAAGUGGAUCGACAUUUACUAGCUGCGCUGGAUUAUUUUUAUAAGAGGCCUUUUAAGCUUUGAGUUUUGGCUCUGAUUAUACUUGUUAUCCUCUUUUAUCAGACUUUAUUAUUUGUCUUUAUAGCAUUAUUACUAUUUGUCCUGGAUGUCCAAGAAGUUGCAUUAUAUUUUCUGUAGGAGUUGGAAGAACUAAAGAAAGAGAUUCAAGAGGCCAGGAGAAUCAAAAUGCUGCAUCAGCCAAGCAGGGUACAUUUUCAUUUUUAUUUUUUAUUUAUCUAUUUUGCAAACGUCCAGCCCAGAAUAUAAAUGGCACACUACCCUUUGUUAAUUUGGGUUCUGCUUUGUUUCAUAAAAAAUACUGUUUAAGCUGCUUUUUAUUAGCUCCAGUGACAUCAUGUCUUUCAGUGCUGGCUAUAUUUGUACUCCCUAUAUCGCUAAAUAAGAUAACUAUACACUCAAUAGGUAAUGGAUAUGGAACAUGAACUUCAAGCACUGCGAAUUCAGAUUGCAGACAAGUCUAUGCAUUGCAUUCAGCUAAAGAAAGAGGUAUGUUAUUGAUCACAUUGAUUUUUGUUAUAGUAGAAUAAAAAUAAUCACUGAUUUUGUCAUAUUUGACUCUAUUUGUUAUCCAUUGCCUGCUUCAGUUGCCCAUAUUUCUGCUGCCUGUUUGUUGACCUUUGAUAUGCUUUGUUGCUUGUAACAUGAGUCUUUAACUCCUAUACCCUUACUUUACACAUGUUCGGAGUUUUGGAGAUCAUAAUGUCACUGACUUCUUUUAAAGUAAUCAUGACUAAGUUAUGUUGGUUUUCAUAUACUGCAUCUGUCCUUCAACUUUGAUACUUUCCUCUUUUCCCAUGCUUCUGCUUUCUGUAGCAAGUGAAUGCUAGCUGCUACUGAUAUUGAGAUUUUUAUUUAGUUAAUGUAAUUGUAAUUGUAUUAUCUGAAUCGUGUCGGUGAUUCACAAGUUAUCAAUGAAAAGUCUCUCAAGCAUUGGUCAUUUAAUCCAUUACUGGAAAUAAAGAUCUAUCUUCGCAUACAUGCUACUACUAGGGAGAAAUAUUUUGACAAUGGCUGACAGUUUGCUAAAUCUUUAAACUUUACCAGCUUGCAAUAAUGAAAAAGCUUGAGGAGAACAAGUCAAAUUUGUAUGAGCUUGAGGGUUCUGAAAGUCUAGGAUCAUGUUUACGUAUUGUUCCUCGAAUUGAUCCUGCACCAGACAUCUCUAAUUGCUCUAUUCGGUGGUACCGUACUGAAGGAAGCAAGAAGGAAUUAAUUUCAGGUAUAUGAAUUUAAUAUUUUUGCACUUAACUUAUUUUACAAGUUAGGUUUUACAUGACCAAUUGUUAUAAGUGGAUCAGUUCUUACCUUGUUCAGUUAUUUUCUCAAUCAGCAUCUCUUUCCUUAUGGCUUUUUAACAGAUGAUGCAUCUUUUGUAACCUGGCGUACUAGAGCUGUAUCAUUGUCUUGACAGGCUGUGAGACUAAACUAAAUUGAGGAAGAUGACAAGGCAAAGAGAUUAGAAGAUGCAAAGGCUGUUGUGAAAGGAUCCUGGAUAGCAAACAAGAAGAAGCAAGCUGAAAAUGGUUAAUAGCCUUAAUAAUAUAUCAAAGUGGCAUCAUAGGGAUGGAAAAGACGAGCAAGAUUGUUCAAAUACAUUAAAAUAGUUAUCAAGAUGAUACAAUAGUUAGCUGCUGUAUAAUAAAAGAUGUAGAAGUAAAAUUAGCAUGAUCUUUAUUUAUAGGGCAAAAUCCGUGAGUGAUAAAACACCAUAACUGAAAGAAGGGUAAAUAAUUAAGACUAGGCUGGAAAAGAUUACACACUGGUCCCAUAAGACCUGACAUCUCAAAGUCUCAAUGACAAGCGUCCUAUGCCAAGUGUGUUGGUGUCCAAAAGUAUCUGACAUCUCAACCACCAAAGAUCCUAAUGUGAGGAUAGUUCCGCACAAUGCUAUAUACAAGGUCUGCCGAACCGACCGGAACCGGUCGAUUUAAGCUGUACCGAACCGGUGCCGACAGCUACCAGUACGGUUCGGCUGUGAAAAUCGGUACCGAACCGAAAUCGGUGCAACCGGCACUGGUAGAAGCAGGGAAUAAGAGGAGGAAGAAAGAAGAGAGAAGAAGUGGGGAAGAAGAGGAAGAAAGAAGAGAAGAAGAAGCGGGGAAGAAGAGAAGGCAAGUACCGGAAAAAGGAGGACCUCUCUUCCUUGCUCAUGGGCGGGACCUCUCUUCCUUCCUUGCUCGCGGGAGAACGGGAGGAUCCGGGAAAGAGAGGAGAAGAGAGGAGAGAGGGGAAGAAGGAGGGUUCGGGAAGAAGAAGGGGAGGAAAAAAAAUAAAGAAAGGGAAAAAAAACCCCGCGCAGGGGGCCGAGUGGGGAACCGCGAGCCCGCUCGUAGGGAACUGCGCCCGCACGCGGUUCCCCACGCUGCCUCGAUUCCCCGCGUGGGCUCGCCUCGUCGGGCAGCAAGCCCAUGCAGGCUGCCCCGCGUGGGCUUUAAAUGCCGCAAGAGUGGCAUUUAAUGCUACUCCGUGGUAACGUGCGGGCGCGCGCGCGUCCGCGCGUCGGACGUGUGUUUUUUUCCUAUCUCGACUGGUUCGGUACCGGUUCCGACUGGUACCGAACCGGUACCGUAUCGUAACCGGUCUUCACCGGUACACCAAUACUAUCGGUACCGCAGACCUUGGCUAUAUAUAUAGAAUAAAAAAUACAGCUAUAUCAAAAUAUAUUAAUAAGGUAAGUUAACUAGCCAAUAUAAUUUUUAUUUAGAAAGGAACUUAUAUUUUUUCCAUAAUAACAUUAAAGAAAGAAAAAUAAUCAUUAUGAUGCUUCAAUAGAAGAGUUUGAAUAUUCAGACUAAUACUGUUUGUUGGUGAAUAGUUUAGAGUUCAGUUGUGUCAUCAAUUGCAAUGAGGCUCCAAAAAGCCAUGCCAAAUUCUGCCAUUUCUAGCUGAUGCAUGCAGGACACACCACUUUUAGAGUGUUAUGGAGCAUCAUGCCACAUCCAAGUGUGCAAAAGUGUCAAUACUCCAAAAUUCUGAAAAAAUUGAAAUGUGAGUAGGAUUAAUGCUUUCAUGCCUUGGUGGAUGCUUGAGUAUGUAAAACUAAGAUAGAAUCUUUUUGCUGAUCAGAACUUUAUUAAGGACAGCAAAAAAGAGUAGGAUAAGGAGAAAAAAGAAGAAAGAAGGGAAGAAGGUAAAACUAAGAUAGGAUCUUUUUGCUGAUCAGAACUUUAUUGAGGACAGCAAAAAAGAAUAGGAUAAGGAGAAAAAAGAAGAAAGAAGGGAAGAAGGCUGCUAGAGGGAUUCUACCUGCAGAACAUUUUUUGGAGCUUUCUCGGGUCUGAUUUACUGAUGUAAGCUGCAUGAGGUACAGGCAUAUGAGGCUAAUAACAGACCCAAGGGCAAACAAAGGUCUGCUUUGUGUUUGUGUUGCAGAAAUAGAUCAUAUCUGUUUUUACUCUUUACAUUUAAUUCGAAAGGUUGAUCAAAUGGCGGCACAGAACAGGAAGGAUCAGAGGUUUGAGAGAGAGGAGAGUGGCAUAGAACGGGAAUGAGAGAAGUUUAAGAGAGAGGAGAGACUAGAAGUGCGGGCACCUUUUUUAGUUCAUGCAAACUGAAAGAACUGUCAGUUGGGAUUCCUGGUUCACAUAUAUCUGUUGUCCUCUUGGCCAGGCACUCUUCCCUGAAAUAGUCUCUUUAGGGGACUCAAACAACCUGCUAUCAGAAAACAUCCAUAAAUUGGGAAUAAAUCUAAGAAAUCCAUUUGUAAAUGGCACAUCCAGCUGAAACUAAAUCUCUGCUAUAUUAAAAGAUCUUGGAUUGAAUUUUUGGGUCCAUCAUUUUACUUCCUAAGUUACCAUUAGUUUUCUUGGAUGUCUUUUUAAGAAAUCUAUUCCACAAUUUCUUGUUGUUUCAAAUACGAUAAAAUACCGAUUAUGAUCUUCUUAAUACCCGUCUUUUCGUAUCCAAACCCCCAACCUGCCAUUCCUCUCUCUCUCUCUCUCUCUCUCUGUCUCUGUGUGUGUGUGUGUUGUGUGGUUCUAAUCCCCGACCUCCUCCUCCCUCUCUAUUUCUAAUCUUGCUCCUUCCAUUUUUAUCCCUCCAUCAUGCUUAUCUAGUUGGACCCUCUCCUCUUUCCUUCUCUCCCCUCAUAAUUGAUUUUAAAAAUGAGGUCAUGUGUUCUCUCCAUCUUUAUCCUUAAACAACCAUCCUCUAUUGUUUAUGAAAUCUUAUUAGGCAAGAGAAAUUCAAGUUUUCAUUACCUAAUAUAUGUUGCUAUUGUAUUUCUUAAAUGCAUGAAAGUAACAAGAAGAUCAAAGAUAAAACAUGAACCACUUAUUUCUUUAGACUUUGUUAGGAUUUAAAUUUUACUUGUGUUGUUGCUAUACCUUUAAUAAUAUAAUUUUUGCUUGUUCGUCUUUGUAGUUCACUUUUAUUUUAUUUAUAUGGUUUUCUUUAUUUAUUUGACAUACAACAAACAUGCGUAUGUAGUAGAUGAACUAAAAAAGGAUUAAACAAAAGCACUUGGGCUGGGCUUUUCUUUGAUCAGCAAGUCCUGGCCAAAGAAUUCAAUUAUGCUGGUCCUUGGCUAAUUUCUAGUUGCAUAACUUUUGGUUUUUAAACCACGGAGAAGAAAGAAAGAGAAGGAUGAAGGAAGAAAAGCAAGAAGACAGGAAAAGAAGCAAAGAAACAAGGGGAGACCGAGAUGCCUGAGAGAGAUUUCUUCUUUAAAGAAGCUUCUUCCACUGACUGUCACUUAAGUAUCUGUAAAUUUGUGUUUUCCCUUUUCCCUACCAUAGAAAAACUUAGUGCCAAUUUAUGUAGAUUCUUAUUUGGGCAGGGUGAUGGGUCAAUGACUCAAAUGUCUCCUUUUUGAACCUCCUAAUCACUAUCUAAAAUCUAUGUAAGGUUAACUCCAAAAACACAAAUUAAUAGUAGAACUUUAAACCAUCAGUUUGUUUUUUAUUGUGUUGAAGAGUUUUUUAUUGUUUUGUAAAAUGAUAUGUAUACAUUAAUCUACAACUGACACUCUCUUCUUUUCUUCUAAUUCUUAUCUACUUAAUUUUACUAAGAAGUAUAUUGCCUCUUUGCAUCAUUCUUUAUUUAUAAUUCUGCAAAGCACAUGCCGAAAACAUUUCUGUUUAUUCCCAUGUCAAUUAUGAUUGUAUCAAACUUUUUAUCACUUGCAGGGGCAACAAAGACAGUGUAUGCUCCAGAACCUUUUGAUGUUGGACGAUUUUUGCAAGCCGAGAUUGUUUUAAAUGAUGAAAGGUUCACAGUGACAACAACGAGUCCGAUAGAUCCUGGUUUGGCCCCUUUACUUUGUGACAAUAUAUUGUCCACUAUAAUAUCAUUUGUAAAGUAAUUGUCUUUUCAUGCAUGUUUUUCCAUAGCUCUAUUGAAAUUACAUGAAAGAAAUAGUCAGCAGCAAGCCAAGAUCCUAUGUGUAUCUAUUUAGGUGCAAAUCUGGAUAUCUGAAUAUAUAUGCUAUGGAUUGGAAGUUCUGGUUCUUCAAGCAUUUAGCUUUAUGAUUUCUUUUGUCAAAGCAAAUCUGUGGAAGUGAAAUUAGUGAUGACCUUUCAUUUUAGAAUGUGGAUGCUAGAUCAACUACAUUGUUUAGUAAAGGGUAGAUAGGCUAGAUUUGGGCGGUGAGAGAUACAUUUCAAGAUAGUGCAAUAUCAGAUUAUAUUGAAUUGAUUUUUGAUACUCAUACACAAAAAUAUAUAUACAUACAUAUACAUUAACCUUUUAUUUUUUUCAUGGGCGUCGGCUAAAGUUAUUCUAACUUAGUUAUCCUGUACAGCUGCAGGAUUAGGAAGCUAUGUGGAGGCACUUGCGAGAAGGCCAGAAACUGAGUUUAAUGUAAGAUUUCAUGCUGGUUUUAGCACCUUGAUAUUGCUAUGCUUGUAGGCUGUUACUUGCCUGAUGACACAAUGUGGGCUCUUGACAAGUUUGAUUAGAGAAGUUAACCUUCUAAUGCACAUCAGUCCUAUCAAACAUAAAUCUGUUAGGCCUUUUUCAUUUCUGAGUUUAUUAUUUUUUUUGUCCUCUCUAAUUUUGUUGUAUUCCUCAUGCUUCCCUUCAAAAAGUAAAGUUUUCUUCCAUGGAUACGUAUUUAAUUACUUAAUUAAUUGGAUGGUUGCUUUACGUUUACCUAGCCUUUACUUACCAUAAAGAACUCAGUCAUAAUUGGAUUUUAAUGCAGCAGGAUUGCUGCUGUAUCUUGUUUAAAUUUACCUCCCAAUAGUGCCAUUCGUUUCUACCCAAGGUUGUACCUCACAUUCCAGAAAGUAAUUUUAAUCCAACUUUUUGCACUUAUAUCCUUGUUAUUUUUAGAUUUCUCUAUCCUCUUUUCAUUCUCUUCAACUCAGAUUAGUACCCUACUGUUCCUGUCUUUUGAUGGCUAUGGUAACACCAUCGUUACUGUUUCAUUGCUUUCUUUUGGUAUUCCUAGGUUUACCAGAAUCUUCCCAUUCAAGAAAAUGCACCCUAUUUAUAGCAGGUUUGCAAAUCAAUGCUCUAUUGCCCUUACUCACGACCAAGUGCUUAUGUAUUUAUAGCUUUUAUAUUUCCUGUAGUCUAAGGCUGCGUUUGGAAGUGGAAUAAGUUAACCCAGAGUAAGUGGUUAACUUACUCCUACUCCUCUUUACUCUGGAAUAAAUUACUCUGUUUUUGAUGUAAUUUAUUCCUUGGUUAAGUGGGAUAAUAGUUUGGAAGGGUUUUCUCCUCUUCUAUCUAUCUAGUUCGUAAGUCAUAGAUGAAAGUAAUGAGAGGCAUUUCCCUUUCAAAGAAUAUGGCCUUGGAUGGGAAUGAAAGGGAAAGGAGGAAUUGUGUGCAGAAGCUUAGUUGGACUUCCUUAGAGAGCUCCUUAAUUUAAUCUCAUCAUGAAGUUGAAUUUCUUUAAGAUUUUUUUAACAAAUAUUGAGAAAUAUCAUUAGCAUUUUGAAAGAAAGUCGAGCAUUUAGAUCUUUCUUUGGAAUGGAUCAACUAUUUAACCAACAUCCAUGCCAUCUUUCACAGUGAGCUUAUUCACAAAUCCAUAGGCUCAUCUGAGGUCCUUGCUUGGUCUCCCUCUCUCUCUCCCCCCCACCUUUUCUCUGUGUUAGUGGGUGUUUUCAUGUUGCUUUGGUGAUGAUUAGAUUCAAGUUUGCACGUUCUCAAUCUCAAGUUUGUUGUAAAGAGAAUUAUUAUUGAAAGAAAUAAUCAGAUUGUCAAGAUGUGAUUGAGCAGCACGUUUUAGAGAUCUAUUUGUAGCCUGCAAAUACUUUUCCAAAGAUCAAGUUCUUGAGCUACUGAGAAUGAAGACGUAUGAUGAUCCUUUUGAUAGUGUUGGUCUUAAUGUGCUCCUACUUAAGAACACUCCAGUUUUCACAGUUGUUGCAGUAUAUUGUUUCAAUUGUACUUCUAUUUUUACUAUUUUCUGAAAAUGCCAUACAAACCAAUGUUUUAAAUAGCAAGAUACUCAUCAUCCUUAUAUAUGUAUAUAUUGUUUGCGUGUGUGUAUGUAUGUAUGUAUGUAUGUAUGUAUGUGUGUGUUUGUAUAUAUGCGAAUUGAUCCAAGUGAUGAUCUAGCAAGUAACAACUUCACGUUCAAUGGAUUUUGAAACAGCAUAGGACUGCUUGUUUCAACACAUUCAACGGUUUUCGUAUGUUACAUUUGUUGGCUGCUUUCGUCAUGUUAAAAGCAGCUUUAAAAAAGAUUAAUAUGUUCUGUUUAUCAUACGUUAGCAAUAUAUGAUCAUUAUUAUGAUGCUUGUGUUCUGUUGGUUUCUGGGGUUGGCUUGAUAUUUAUAACUGCUUUUUUAGAAAGGGAAGCAUGAAUAUACAAAUGAUUUUUUCAACUGACACUUGAUAAACUGCAAUUGUUUCUUUUUCUAACUGAUUCUAACCCUUAAAUGUUUAUUAUGUUGCUUUUCAGGUGGUUGUCACACAAAUGAAUUGUCGUGAUUAUUCCUCGCAGUCCAUUCAUGUGUUUCAUGUGGGGAAGAUGAGAAUAAAGCUUUGUAAGGGGAGGAGUACAAAAGCAAAAGAAUCAUAUUCUGCUUCAAUGCAGGUAGCAGCCUGACCUGGAGUAUGGAUCUUUAACUUGGGAAGCUAAAUGAUGCACUUUUUUAGAAUAUUGAAUAUUUUCUUCUAAUCCAACUAACAUGGGACAUACAUCCAAUGGUUGUGGAGAAACAUGUUCUUUCAAUUGGUACUCACUACUCAGAUUCGGAUAGAACUUGCAAAGAUGCAUCCGAUACCACUUCACAAGUUUGUAUGUGGAUACAUAGAUACAUUUUCCCUCUCUGCCACAAUUCAUGGUACUGAUAGGCCUUAAAUGUGCAGUAUUUAGGGCCUCUAAGUAUGCACUCAUUGAUAUGCCCAUGUGAUCAUUCCCAAACAUUUAGGAAGUGGCUUGGAGUUGUGGAGAAAGCAGGUAGAAAGGACCUGGUUGGUUGUUGGUCCGGUAAUUCCUAAAGUUUUAAGGACACUGAAAAUUGCUUUAAAAGGACCAUGCAAAACUGAUAUCUGACUGCAACCAUUUCCCAGCCGUACUAUAGUUCAGAGCAUCAUGCUAUCCCUACGGAUAUGUGACUUAUGAUGCUUUGCUGAUUUUCCCUUCAUGAGAUUCAUGUUCCCCUUGUCUAAUGCAAUUUGUGUUUCAACAUAUACGUGAACUGGACUUUAUUUACAUAACUGAACUAUGUUGAAAAAAUUGUAAUAUUAACGUAGAAAUUAAAAGUCAUGUGUGUUGACAGUAGUGACCUGGAUUUGAAUCCUGGCCUCACCUGCUGUCAGCUGGGCUUCCUCCUGUCCUAGUUCUCCCCCUCCAAAAAAAAAAGAAGAAUUAAAGGUGGCACGGAUUGUUGUGCAAGCUGGGCUUGUAAGAACAUGUCGUUAGACCAUUGGCAAAGCUGCAAUAAUCUAAGUUGGCUUCAGUUCGCUCUCUUUUUUCCACAGCUAAAUUCUUGAGCGUAUCUAAUUUUGUUACUUUCCCUGGUCAACCUCCAGCUUUGUGGGGUUAGAGGUGGUGGAAAUGCUGCAGCUCAGUCAAUCUUUUGGCAAGCUAAGAAAGGUCUUUCCUUCAUAAUAGCUUUUGAAUCGGAGAGAGAAAGGAAUGCAGCAAUCAUGCUUGCCCGAAGAUUUGCUUUUGACUGCAAUGUAAGUAUCCAUUCCUUAACAAUAAUUCAUCAGUUAUCUGUGUUUGCUUGCAUUGGGCAUAUUAAAUUCAUGUUGGAAAUCCAUGGAAUCUGUCAGCCUGCUUUCAGCUUGUUCUACUGUAUAUUGAUUUAAAACCUAUAUACUCCUAUUUUCAUAGCUUUUUGCAUUUGCUGGCAAUUGUCAAAUGUUAGAACUAAAUUUCCUUUCUUUAUCUGAUGCAUACCAGGUCAUGCUUGCUGGACCCGAUGAUCGAGCUCCUACUGGGACCUCAUAAAAGUGAUGAACUUCUGUAUGACCGUAAGUAUGUCGAGGCUGUGCAGUUGUGUAUUUGUAUGAUUGUUAUAGGUGAAAGCUGAUAGAACGACUGUAACUGAGGCUUCUGUUAUUCUAUUCUGUUCAGCACCAAGGCAUCCUUUUAUUUGCCUUCACACCAAAUUGUAACCAUUCAUUUACAGCUAUUGUAUAGGCGGGUUCUGUUAUUCUGAUCGUGUUCAACAUUAAGGCAUCCUUCAUUUUCUCUCGACAAAGACCUCAUUCUAGACUGAGUACACGCAUAUUCCUGUCAUAAAUGUUAGAAUAGGAUGCUUAUCAUUCAAAGAAGUUUAGUCACCCUGUCAAAAUGGCUCUAGGCGAGUGAAGCACAACAAACCCUUCAUAUCUUUUUUACUGUCCUCAUCUAUAUAUCCAGUAUAGGUAGACAAUAAUUGUGUUUGGGACUAUGGGCUGGUGGCCAAAAAUUUAUGUGAAAUUGAACAACCUGUUUCUUCUACCUGCUUAGAAAAUCAAACCAUACCUCAAUAACAUGAUAUCAGCAUAAAACAUGUACUUGGUUUCCAAGUCAAAGCAAUACAUCCAAGAGUCAGAACUGAGAUGACAGGGAUGAGGAUGGGAGUUCAUAUAGGUUGCUGCAGCGAACAGAGCAGAUGUCUCAUUUUAUCGCUCAAGACUUGAAGAACUUGUGUUGUAUAUCAAGAAUAAAUGGGAGCUAUCGACAUGCACCAGUAAGUGGGCUGACACCAAAAUUCCCGUCUCUGACAUAAAACUAGUGUAGCGUUAAGAAAAUCAACAGUCAGCCAUCGCAAAUAUAGCAUAGAUACUGGGAUGGCAAAUGACUCGAUCAGAGGCUACUGAGAUCACUCUACAUUUCUAGUGACCAGUGACCGGGCAAAAUGCUACCUCUGGUGCAAGUCUUAAGGUUUAUGCAUCAUUCCUUUUACAGCCUGCUACUGCCAUUCAUCUGCAUACAGUGAGACAUCGGUCUCGACCACCUUUUAAUCCAUCAUGAAGAUAAUGAUGGGGUUUAAGAGGCCUUUCUCUGUGUUGUUACUCCUUACUCGAGCAUAUGUUUCCAGGAAAAAGAUCGGGAUACCUCGAUCAAUUGAUUUCAUGCGAUGGUCAAACGAAGAUUACAACCAAAUGGCACUAAGACGUAAUGAUCAUGCAACUGUAAAGGAAAAAAAAUAAUGAUUAAAAAAUUAUAUAACGUUUUAUAUUAGACAUUGAUAAAGAUCUGGGCACCAUAUCCUAAGUCAAAUACGUGGAUGGAAGCUGACCACCAGGCUUGUUGGGAACUCUAACCAUCUGUGUGAGUGUUACUGUGAGUGUUGGGGCGUUCAGCUGGACGCCUGGGGCAGCUCCCAGGCAGGUCGUAGGAGCCCCUGGGCUGCCUUGUACAGCUGCCUUACUGCCCAAGAGUGAUCUAGUUCCCAUUCUAUUCUCAUCCCAUUUUUACCGGUUCGAUCAUGGUGUAGGAUUAUUGUCGGGCGAAUCUGCAACGAUGGAUUUCAGGAAAUCCUAGUGCAUGGCAGAAGCAUGUUAAAAUCAUCAAGCAGGUAAAUUAAGUUAUAUUCUGCAGCAAAUAUAUUAUAGCACCAUUCAGUACACAAGGUGUAUGCUAUUUUUCUAGAUCACAUAUCGAAUGCGCACAGCGAAAACACUAUAUAAAUCACAAGAACAUGUCAGUUGUGUUGAAUUUUCUGCUGCUAAGAUAGCAUAGUAAUGAAGUUGCACAAAAGAAUUGUAUAUAAAGAUCAUGAAUUACUUCAAGAUCCCAAACUAUGCUGGAGCUUGACGGUCCAUUCAGAGUUCUUUCAUUGCAUCAAAUCCUGGAACAACACAUGAUCUCAGAUGGAACCCGAUAAAAAAUCUGAUAAUCCAAAAAGUAUUUUGGCCGAUUCUAAAAUGCAGCCUGACCCAAAGAUUAUUGAGAAGGUGAAAAGAAAAAAAAGCCAUUAGACUCCUUCGACAUUCCCAUCCAAUAACAGUAUCCCCAAAAGCAAUGUGGUAAAGAUGGCUGAUUAUGUCUGACAUGAUUCAUUGCGAAGGCCUGGGAGAUUUGUUGGGUAGGAUGUUGUCAGGAAGAAUAAGCUCUGGUGGUACUUCUCGAACAACUCCAAGCAUUGAAUCAUAAUCCUCAUCCCUGCGAGCAUACUUCUUGCGCAGCCCCUUCUCUAACUCGAUAUCAUCGAAUGCCUUAGCAUUCUCAGCAGCAUGUACCUGGGCCAAAUUGGAAUAGUUGGUUGCUGAUUGGGAAAUGAAAGCAAUCUCUUCUUCUGUGAGCUUCCUCAGGAACUUUGCUGGAUUACCUCCCCAUACCUGUCACUUGAUUUUAAAUUUUAUUAACCAGUCAACACAAUCACAACAAGAUAGAAUUAAUAAGCAAAGGCCAAAUUAAUUCUCGCCUCUGUCUUUUUACAUGUCAGGAUUUGAAUUUUUCUUCUAAAAUUGGCGUAUUGAACAAAAGCAUUAAUUAAUAGGAAGAACUUAUGCUGAUUAAAAAACUAAAAACAGCUAUUAGUUGCAGUGAAUUUGUCAUUGCCAUAAGAAUUUUGAAGAUAUAAUGAAAAGCACAAAUUGGAUGGUUUGACUUAUCCAGGUCAAAUUAGUAUCUGGGUUAAAGGCCAUUCAAGAGGUAAUACUCUACGCAUAUCGCAUAUUGCUUACUUUGUGCCAGUUCCAGAGAUCAUUGCUCAAAAAAACCCUAGAAUUUGUGCGAGCAUAAGCUUUGGCAGAUGCAAUAUUCUUUGAAAGCAAAGAGUGCGGAAGUAUUAUGGAAUAGAGGUGAAGACUACCUCUCCGCAUGGGAUCUUCGUAUUUUGCCUUACAAGGGCACCAGCAGCAACCAUGCCGUGUUUUUCCACGACAACCCCAUCAAGCAGGACUGCACCCAUACCAACAAAAGUCUCGUCCUCGACAGUGCAUCCAUGUAAGACAGCACUAUGACCUGUAAUAUUCAAGCUCUUAAACAUCAAAAUGGUUAAUCAGCUUACAAGAUGAUAUUACAGUUUGUAAUCCUUUUGGACCUCAUAGCAAUUAGAUGAGAAAGAGAAAGAAUCCAUUCUUAAUCUUGUAUUAUGAUACAUCCGAAUGUUUAGAUUCAGUGAGGUAUCAGCCAUCAAGCUUUUCAGUAAAAACAUACAGAAAAGAGGAACUAAAACAAGACACAUGGCUUGAAGAAUAUCCAUAGGGCCUGACUGAAUCAGUUGACAAGAAAUAUAAGCCAAUAAUGGAAUUAGUGUCAUAAUACUUACCUAUUGUAACAUUAUCUCCAAUAAUGGUCGGCAAGACCUUCCCACUUAAAUUAGACUUUGCUACAUGCACAAGUGAAUUAUCUUGUAUAUUAGUUCCAGAUCCCACACGGAUGCGGUUCACAUCACCUGGAGAAAUGAGAUAUUAGAACUUUUAGAUACAAAUGACCAUCAGAAAAUGGAAAAAAUACCACCAAAAUGCAAUAAAAAUUAUGUGCCACUAAACAUCAUUUUGAAGAUGUCAUUAGUGGAGAAUCUAGAUGUCAGCAAAGAUCAGUUGGUGGCGAUCUCCCUGCACCUGACCCCUUUUUGACAGUACAAUUACUUUUCCAGCAACUCAUCUUUUUCUAUAAAAGAGCUUGUCAUUGUCAUUCUUUUGAUAUGUAAUUUGUUGGCUGAUAUACAAGACAGCAAAGGAAAUACACCAAAAAUAUGUGGUUGCCACUUUCCUACAUCUAACUCCUUUGUAACAGAACAUUUUUUUCCCCAAGCAAUUCAUAUUUGAACAUGAAAAAUCAAAAAAUCGCAAUCCCAGAGAUUCAUACUCAUCUCUCAGAUCAUCCAGAAUCUCCAUUUUCAUUGAUGUCUUACAAGCUAUUGCUGCAUAAGCUGGAUGAGAUAUGACUCAUGUGACAACAGAGAUCUUCCCAAAACUAGGCUACGUAACAUGACAUGACAUGGGAAACAUAUGCGAGAUGAGCUACAUAUAAAAGCACUGAUUUGUUUUAAAAUCCUUAAAUGCUAAAAUGACAAAGACUAUCUUAAGAUUGAUGCAAGAACUCGUAUCAAAAAUCCUCUUCUUGGAAUUUGGAAUAUCCUUUUAACCAUCAAACCAUGGCAUUUGGAAUAAUUUUUUAACCAUCAUAACCAAUUUUUUCAAUUUUUAAUCUUGUCCUAAUAUCCAUUUGAAGUGGUAGUUCUAUGAGCAAUAAUAAUUAAAAUUAAUAUGCAAAACAGAGUAAAAAGGACUUCAUAGUCAGCAGAACUUCGGAUACUGCAUAGGAAACAUGAAAUGAGAAAUAGUCUACCGAGUCUAAUUUUAGCAAUUUGGAAAACAAGAAUGCAUACAAUGUAGAAAUGGGUGAAAGACUUAAGAUAGGAUUUCAAAUGAAAUAUCCCAUGGAGUUUGGAGCUCCUGCACAACUGCCUCACCUGAUGACCAUGCGGCAUUUCGCAUGAUAAAACCUUAAGGCUUUGCAGGAUCAUAAAUCUACUCCUCAAAAGGAGUUCUCCUUUGGUGAGACAUGCUAUGAACAAAUGAGAUAUUUGAUCAUGACCCCCUGAAAUUCACCUUAUGAGAGAGGUUUUUUUUAAAUAAUUUUUUAUGUAGGCCCAAGGCUUCCAGUGAACUCAAGAAUUCACCAUUAACUACAUCCAAACAUUGGGGCAAUUUUGAUUAAGAGACCUUGUCCACAAGUGUUGAAAGAAGAUAAAACAGAAUAAAUAUAAAUCUGAAUUUCAUUAAUCUGCUCGCUCAAUAUUACAUGGCUUAACCAGAGGCACACCAACAGUUUACAUCAAAAAUAGAAUGAAUAGAUCUUUAUACAUGAUUUCGCAUGCUGUAAGUUGAAGCAAAUGUGCAUGAUAGCAAGAAGAACAUGGAUCCACUUAGAGAUAAAGAGAUCCAUUAGCAUCUUGUUUUGAACUUGCCCAGUUUAAUGACAUGGGAGAUUGAGCUUGAAUUUGUAUGGUUUUGUCCAGUUUAAUGACAUGGAGGUCAAAAGUUGCAUUUGAGUAGAGUUAGAGGACUAACUCUAAUUGGAAUCAAGAAGGGUUAGAGGACUAACCCUAACUUGACCUUGAUUUAACAAGGGCCAAAUGACUAACCUAAGCUUGAGCUUGACUAGGACCAGAGGACUGUUCCUAGCCUAGAUUUGAACAGAGGACUAAUCAUAACCCGAGCUUGAUUAGGACCAAAGUACCAAUCCUAGCUUGGAAUUGACUUAACCAAGGUGAGGACCAACCCUAGCUUAGAUUUGACUAGGGUCAGAGGACAAACCCCUGGAUGAGCUUAUCCAAGGUCAAAGGAUUAACCUUGACUUGGAUUUGACUAGAGUCAGAGGACUAACUCUAAUCUGAACAUGACCAGGAUUAGAAGACUAAUGACUUGAAUUUGACUAAGGUCAGAAGAUUAACUCCAGCACGAGCUUAAGCGGGUCAGAGGACUAACCCUAACUUGGAUUUGACUAUAAUGAGAGAACUAACCUCAACAUUAGCUUAACUAGGGUCAAAGGACUAACCUUGACUUAGAUUUGACUAGGAUCAAAAGACUAAUCUCAACAUAAGCUUGACUAGGGUCAAAGGACUAACCUUGACUUGGAUUUGAUUAGGGACGGAUAACUAACUCUAGUACAAACUUGACCAAGGUUAGAUGACUAACCAUCACUUAAAUUUGACUAGGGUUAGAGGACUAACCCCAACAUAAGUUUAACUAAGGUUUGAGGACUAACCUUGACGUGAAUUUGACUAGGGUUAGAGAACUAACCCCAAUAUAAGCUUAACCAGGGUUAAGGACCAACCCUGACUUGAAUUUGACUAGAGUCAGAAGACUAACCCAAGCAUUAGCUUGACCAGGGUCAGAGGACUAAUCUUGACUUUAUUUGACUAAGGUCAGAGGACCAACCUGACCAAGAUCAGAGGACAAAUCUUGACUUUGGAUUUGACCAGAGUCAAAAGACUAACUCCCACAUGAGGAAAAAAGUUGCCAACUAGGACUCAAGGGUCGAGUUAGCCACAUAAGGAAAAGGGACACCAACUAUGAUUUACCCUAGCUUUGACUUGAAUAGGGUCAGGGGAGUAACCUUGAUUUGAGCUUGAGAAGGGUCAGAGGAUUAACACUAAUUGGUUCUAACCAGAGCCAGAGGACUAAUUCCCGUUUGGAUAGGAUUAAGGCUUGAUGACUAUCCUUAGCUUGAAUUUGAGCAGGUUCUGAGGACUAACCCUAACUUGGAUGUGAUUUAACCAUUCGCCGCUUAGAUUUUGACUAGUAUUUGGCCUUAUGCAACCCACUUGAAGCUACCGUGCUUUUCCCAUGGAUUUAGUUUGACAGGAAUCAAGGGGCCCAUCUGGAGCCAGACUAGGAUUUUCAGCGAUGAACUUCAUGCUCGGCCUUCUAUAGCCUUUCUGAGCUAGACUUCAGCUUUUGUUCAAUAAACUUAGUGCUGGACCUUGUGCAGCUCGCUUGAGGUUGAUUUGUGCUUUUGAUAAUUAUGUGAUGGGACUCGUGUAAACUUUUUGAGCUUAACUUGCACUUUUGACGAAUGAACUAACUGAUGGGCCUCAUGACACCCGUUGAGCUUGAUGAUAGGCCUUGUGUUGUCCUCUAAAGCUUGAUUUGGGCCUUAACCAUUUCUGACUUGGGCUUGACCAGCUUGAAUUGAUUGGGGCUAGAUGCUUCCAAAGUUGGGUAUCAACCCAAUAGAAGCAGGACUUCAAACACACUAGAACUAAAGAAGAUUAAUCCACUCAUAUCCAGCCAAAAUUAUUCAACCAAAAACAUAUGCAGAUAUUUUGACUUUAGCAAUAAAUCAGAUAUGAAAACACAGCAAGUAUCCAAAUUUUGAACAGAAUAACUAAUUUUAGAACCAAAUUUCAGAAAGAAUUUCCAGUAUUAACCUUCUAGAGUCCAGAUUUCUACAUUAAUAUUUCAUCUUCCUACACUUUUAGAAGAGCCAUCACAUAAAUAUGCGUGUAAAACACAUCUUUAUACACAACCACUCUAAGACACAAGAAGCCUGUAAACUUGGUUUAUAAAACUAUCAUGUCAUACUUAAAUGGAAAUCAAAACAAAAGUACAAGAUAGGAUCAAAAUCUUUUACCAUAAUGCCUUGAGGAGCAGAUACGUAUAGCAAAGGAGAUAAAUCAUUGUUCCACAUUAUUUAUACUACAGAAUUUGGACUUGAAGAAACCAUUUCAAAAGUUCAACUAAUCAAAAUUUCUUUUUAAGCAGAUGAAUAUCAAAAUUAGGAUAUCGUUUUUUAAAUAAAAAAUUAGCCAGGAUAGAAACUAUUGAUAAAUUGAUAUUUCGAUUAGAUCAAUAUGUCAAAUUAUCUAAGUGUGCAUCCUAGAAAAUUUAGCAUAAAUAUCGAACACCAUAAACAUUACACAAUCAUGUUCAAAAUUUG
rnacentral:lncRNA from 1 species